UCCGAGUUGACCCCGGCAGUCUCCUAUGAGUCCCCACCACUACGUGCUGGCAACAUAGAACGAGGGUUGCGCUCGUUGCGGGACUUAACCCAACAUCUCACGACACGAGCUGACGACAACCAUGCACCACCUGUGUACCGACCUUGCGGGGAGCACAUCUCUGCACUUUUCCGGUGUAUGUCAAGCCUUGGUAAGGUUCUUCGCGUUGCAUCGAAUUAAUCCGCAUGCUCCGCCGCUUGUGCGGGCCCCCGUCAAUUCCUUUGAGUUUUAGCCUUGCGGCCGUACUCCCCAGGCGGGGCGCUUAAUGCGUUAGCUGCGGCACGGAACCCAUGGAAUAGGCCCCACACCUAGCGCCCAACGUUUACGGUGUGGACUAC
rnacentral:misc_RNA from 1 species